GACGAACGCUGGCGGCGUGCCUAAUACAUGCAGGUAGAACGCUGAAGAGAGGAGCUUGCUCUUCUUGGAUGAGUUGCGAACGGGUGAGUAACGCGUAGGUAACCUGCCUUGUAGCGGGGGAUAACUAUUGGAAACGAUAGCUAAUACCGCAUAACAAUGGAUGACACAUGUCAUUUAUUUGAAAGGGGCAAUUGCUCCACUACAAGAUGGACCUGCGUUGUAUUAGCUAGUAGGUGAGGUAAUGGCUCACCUAGGCGACGAUACAUAGCCGACCUGAGAGGGUGAUCGGCCACACUGGGACUGAGACACGGCCCAGACUCCUACGGGAGGCAGCAGUAGGGAAUCUUCGGCAAUGGGGGCAACCCUGACCGAGCAACGCCGCGUGAGUGAAGAAGGUUGUCGGAUCGUAAAGCUCUGUUGUAAGUCAAGAACGGGUGUGAGAGUGGAAAGUUCACACUGUGACGGUAGCUGACCAGAAAGGGACGGCUAACUACGUG
rnacentral:rRNA from 1 species